CUCUAAAAAUAGAAAAAAAACCUUCUAAGAGCAAUUUCUUAAAAAGCCUGGACAUUUCAAAAUAAACAAAACAUCACUGAAUGUUGUCCUUAAAUGACCUCACUGUAUUUUAAUCUCUUCCAUUUCCUUUAACAGUCUUGUCCCCUAACAUAACUCAGUAAAGCAAGACAUUUCUUGCCAUAAAAUAGUUUUGAUUUAAUUAAACACUCAUAUUCAUACAACACAUUCUAAAGACUUGAGGCAGCAGCUUACAUUCAUAUGAAUACUCAUUACUUUCACAGUGAGCGUCGAGGAGUCUGAGAGAACCUGUUGGCUGCCAGUAAGGACUGGGCUGCAGUGCUCAGCCCUUCUGAGUGGCUGGUAGAGGCCUCAUUCCCUGGAAAAACAGAAAAGCAAGCAGCACACAUCCGAGUUCCUCCAGAACCUGCAUCACAUGCCAGUUCCUGCCUCCUUGUCAUGUCUGAGGAAGUGGGGGCAAAAGGGAGAGGAGAUUUGGGAAUGUUUUGCCCCUAUAUAUGUCCUCUGACAGAACCUGAGCUGAUGUGGGAAUCUGGAAUGUAGUUCUAGUCCAAUUUUCUAGUCCUGAAAUUAAGCCAAAUUCUGCCUUUACUUGGGGAAGAUGAGUGUCCAUUCCAUUCACCGCAGCCUUGAUGCUAGAAACUGUUGUCAAUCCAGGCUGCAUGGUCAGAUUGGAAGUGCAAUGGAUGCUCCUUCUCCAUGAAAACUACCGGUCAAAAUGAUUUUCAACAUGUAUUUUGACUUUAAUUCAGUGCUUAAAGUGUUAGCUAAGGUCUGUGAAUUUGCCUUUCCUACACUAUGGGUUAAUGUAUAAUCCAUUGUGUAUAUUUGCUUUGCAAGUUUGUUAUUUAAUUGUUGGUUGCGCCAGAAGGAAAGAAACUCAUACUCUCAGUAAUUACUAUUGAGUAGUUUGGGGGUUUUUUUUAAGUGGCAUCUGAGACCAAUGAAGAAAGUGUUCUAAGACGAAGUUACAUGUUAGGGUUGAGCUAUCUAACAGCAUGCCAUUGUCAAAAUGGGGAGAGCCUGCUCCCUUUACACC
rnacentral:lncRNA from 1 species